rnacentral:misc_RNA from 1 species
GAAAUGCGAUAAGUAAUGUGAAUUGCAGAAUUCAGUGAAUCAUCGAAUCUUUGAACGCACCUUGCGCCCCUUGGUAUUCCUUGGAGCAUGCCUGUUUGAGUAUCAUGAAAUCUUCAAAGUAAAUCUUUUGUUAACUCAAUUGGUUUCUACUUUGGUAUUGGAGGUCUUUGCAGCUUCACACCUGCUCCUCUUUGUUCAUUAGCUGGAUCUCAGUGUUAUGCUUGGUUCCACUCGGCGUGAUAAGUUAUCUAUCGCUGAGGACACUGUAGAAGGUGGCCAAGGUAAAUGCAGAUGAACCGCUUCUAAUAGUCCAUUGACUUGGACAAUACUUUUAUGAUCUGAUCUCAAAUCAGGUAGGACUACCCGCUGAACUUAAGC